rnacentral:lncRNA from 1 species
AUUAAAAAUCAGACCACCUGUCUCUUGAGCCUGUGUUCUCAGCCAUGUCUGUAUGUAAUGAUGUUUUACUAAUUUGGACAAAUGACAGUCCCCACCCUACCAUUAUACAGCAGGGGUGGAGUUCAUGAGUUCAAUUAGUUUGUUGAUGGCAAGUAAAGAUGCUACAUUAUCUGGUUGUAUCUAGAUGUUUUAUCUCCCAGACCACUGAGCAGCCACAGUUCCCAAAGGAGUAGCAAUUGGUCUGGGAGAGAGGGUUAAGAAGAGAGAGGAAAAAUUAAUUUCUCUUUCUCCUACAUUGUUUCUCUGAGUCCCAGGACAUGAUUGGUUAAGUGCCAACAGGAGUCAUGAUGACUCACAAUGCAGCUGAGAACCCUGUUACCAUUUGCAAUGACAAGAACUAAACACUAGCCACUACCACCAGGGUUACUCCUGGUUCAGGGCUGAAUACAGUCCACUGGGCAAUGAUCAGCAAUUCUGACUUCAAGAUCCAAUCACCCAGUGAAAGCUACAAGAGAACUCAGUACAAGGCUUUCUUGGUUGUGCUGUCUUUCUGAGGCAACGUGGAGUCUACCAGUCACGGACAAAGGACUCUCUGAAGUCAGUCCCAGCACA